GACGAACGCUGGCGGCGUGCUUAACACAUGCAAGUCGAACGGAAAGGCCCUGCUUUUGUGGGGUGCUCGAGUGGCGAACGGGUGAGUAACACGUGAGUAACCUGCCCUUGACUUUGGGAUAACUUCAGGAAACUGGGGCUAAUACCGGAUAGGAGCUCCUGCUGCAUGGUGGGGGUUGGAAAGUUUCGGCGGUUGGGGAUGGACUCGGGGCUUAUCAGCUUGUUGGUGGGGUAGUGGCUUACCAAGGCUUUGACGGGUAGCCGGCCUGAGAGGGUGACCGGCCCCAUUGGGACUGAGAUACGGACCAGACUCCUACGGGAGGCAGCAGUGGGGAAUAUUGCACAAUGGGCGGAAGUCUGAUGAAGCAACGCCGCGUGCGGGAUGACGGCCUUCGGGUUGUAAACCGCUUUCGCCUGUGACGAAGCGUGAGUGACGGUAAUGGGUAAAGAAGCACCGGCUAACUACGUG
rnacentral:rRNA from 1 species